rnacentral:rRNA from 1 species
GACGAACCGUGCGAACGUUGUUCGGAAUCACUGGGCUUAAAGGGCGCGUAGGCGGACCAACAAGUCGGGGGUGAAAUCUUUCAGCUCAACUGGAAAAGAGCUUCCGAUACUGGUGGUCUCGAGGGAGGUAGGGGUCGAGGGAACUAAUGGUGGAGCGGUGAAAUGCGUAGAUAUCAGGAGGAAUACCGAUGGCGAAGGCAGGUCUCUGGGCGUGACACUGACGCUCAUGCACGAAAGCGUGGGGAGCAAACAGG